rnacentral:rRNA from 1 species
AGUGAACGCUGGCGGCGUGCUUAACACAUGCAAGUCGAACGAGAACGGAUUAUAGCUUGCUAUAAUUGUCAGCUAAGUGGCGCACGGGUGAGUAAUGUAUAGGUAAUAUGCCUCUUACUAAGGGAUAACAAAUGGAAACGUUUGCUAAUACCUUAUACUCCUUAUUAACAGAAGUUAAUAAGGGAAAGAUUUAUUGGUAAGAGAUUAGCCUGUAUUGUAUCAGUUAGUUGGUGGGGUAAUGGCCUACCAAGACUAUGACACAUAACUGGUUUGAGCGGAUGAUCAGUCACACUGGAACUGAUACACGGUCCAGGAUCCUACGGGAGGCAGCAGUGGGGAAUAUUGCACAAUGGACGAAAGUCUGAUGCAGCAACGCCGCGUGGAGGAUGACACAUUUCGGUGCGUAAACUCCUUUUAUAUGAGAAGAUAAUGACGGUAUUAUAUGAAUAAGCACCGGCUAACUCCGUGCCAGCCGCCGCCGUAACAC